AGCAGCCGCGGUAAUUCCAGCUCCAAUAGCGUAUAUUAAAGUUGUUGCAGUUAAAAAGCUCGUAGUUGAAUUUCAGGCCUGGCUGGACGGUCCGCCCUUCGGGUGAGUACUGUCUGUGGUCGGGUCCUACCUUCUGGCGAAGCGUCAUGGCCUUAACCGGCCGUGGCGGGGAACCAGGACUUUUACUGUGAAAAAAUUAGAGUGUUCAAAGCAGGCAAAUCGCUUGGAUACAUUAGCAUGGAAUAAUGGAAUAGGACAAUGGUUCUAUUUGUUGGUUUCUAGGACCGUUGUAAUGAUUAAUAGGGAUAGUUGGGGGCAUUAGUAUUCAAUUGUCAGAGGUGAAAUUCUUGGAUUUAUUGAAGACUAACUAUUGCGAAAGCAUUUGCCAAGGAUGUUUUCAUUAGUCAAGAACGAAAGUUAGGGGAUCGAAGACGAUCAGAUACCGUCGUAGUCUUAACCAUAAACUAUGCCGACUAGGAAUCGGGCGAUGUUGAAAAAAUGACGC
rnacentral:rRNA from 1 species